AUUAUCUAAAUGGAUGUGGCUAUGAAUGGAACCAACUCUGAUGACACCUGGAUUCAAAAUAUGAGACCUGAGGUGUCAAAAGUGAGCAUGGCCAUCAUUCUUCUGGCCGUGAUCACCUUCCUGCUGCAGUUAAGCCUGGUUCUAACUGUGAUGUACAGAUGUUGGAGGAAGGACAAAAAAAUCUGCAGGAUGAUGGGCCGGCCUUUCAGCAAAGCAUGUGUCACAGAAGAUACUCAGUGUCUGGCUGGCCAACAGAGGGACUGCUCCAGAUCUACCUCAUAUGUAAUUCCCUGUUACCGUGAGGAGCCUGCAGCUUUCCCUCCCUGGGACUUGGUGCAGUUCGUCUGAAAAGGACACAGAUCAAGACACUUGUCAUUUGGGCUGAAAUACCUAUCUGUUGCUUUUCUGCUGAAAGUUAACGACUGCCUGUGUUAACAGGUUAGCUAACCCUAACCCUAACAGAUUUAGGCAAGUAACAACUACAAAAGUGGGAGAAAGAAUCUUGGAGGUGAGAGACACCUUCAAGGACUUGUAAUCAUUGAUGGAAACCACAUUAAGUAAAAUGAUAUUUUUAGACAAUAAAUAAUUUUAUCUAAAUUGUCCCGAUAAUUGC
rnacentral:lncRNA from 1 species